UUCAGAGCUUAACUGUCACUGACCAGAGUAGUUGAUUAAAGCAACAAGUCAAAAUUGAAAUAACAAUUAAGCCUUUAAUCACUUACACAAGGGUCUAAAUUAGAGGAAGUGCCGGCUGUACCUAAUCCACUCCCCACCAUGAAACAGUGCAUGAGUGGAGGGUCAGGUGAUUAACAGAGGCCUGGGAGUUAUGUCCCCGUUGAGAUAACCCUUAACAGAGCCUCCUACACUUUCAUGAAUGAGAGGGGAAAGUGGGAAAGGGCCUUGAAAGGAAAGACUGAGUGCUGGGUUUAAGUUGGGGAAAAUAUUUUUCAUAUCUUCCCCUCAGUCUUUAGUAAGGAGGCCUUCGCAGAAGUGCUUGAAGCAGACCUUGGCACCAAUGCCUCAGAUAAAGACAAGGCUGGAUGACGGUGCUCUGGUAAGAAAUGCAAAUAUGAGAAGAGCAGGAUCAGCCAAAGCCCUCACUAAGAGAAGCCUGGAUCCCCGACUGCAACUCACUACAGAGACUGUGAUGCCCUGGCUGAGAUCACAUCUGGUGUGAACAGCUUUCUCCGGCAUCAACAACAAAACCAUUCACUGGAAGAACACCGCCAGUUACCGGCCUACUUAUAAGCAAAGUGGCACUAAUGUCCUCCAAGAAACCUAACUAAAGGUAUCCACAAAGGGAGAAACACCGUGGCUAAAUCCAAAGGAAGAUAAAGAGAGUGAAUUCCUGGCAAUCACUAGCUGAUCUCCAGGGAAGAAUGCUAUCUGGAUUCCUUCUGGCAACAUUAUAAAAUGGAAAGUGACUAGUCCUUAAUUUCUGAGAUUCCCAGACUUGGAUUGAAGUCUUUUUGUUUUUUUCAAUUGACAAAAAUUGUAUGUAUAUAUCACCCACAACAUAAUGCCUUAAAGUACACAUACAUUGUGAAAUGGUUAGAUCUUGCUGCUUAACAAAUGCAUUACCUGGCUUAGUUAUCAUUUUCGUGGUGAGAACACUUAACAUCCACUCUCUUUGCAUCUUUUCAUAAUACAAUGUAUCUUAAUUAACAAGUUUAGAGGAGUCUUGAUUGCAACAUUUUAUCUGUGUUAGACUGGGCAGGUGGCUUUCAGGUUCAGCACUAAAGGAGGUUACAGGGGUUGCAUGAAGCUACUCUGUCCAAAUUUAGCACAAAAUAGGUGCUCUAUAUAGUUUUGUUCUCCUUUUUUGUCAGGAUCUUGUCUCAAUGACGGUUUGAAGAAUCUGAAACAACAGCUCUCCAUGUCCUUCCUGUCCCCCAGAACAAAGUCUAUGUUUCAGAAAGGCAGAUGUGUUUCAGUUGAUGUGAUUAUGAUAAGGAAGCACAAAUGAUAACCAUGACUCAGGCUGGUCAGAGUGAGGCCCAAUGACACCCAUUAUAUAAAUUCUUCUGCGAAAGGGUCAUGUAGGUCAGCCCACAUCUUGCCAUGUCCGACAAAUGGGUCAGUGGAGGUGACAGGGUUAAGUUAUUUGAAGGGAUGUGUGGGAAUGGUACUCUAAGGAAAAGGUGUCAUGAAAUGAUCCUGUCACAAAAGUAACAACAGAUUGACAAGGCCUCAGAGUGUCCACCAGGUGUAUCCUUAACCACCCAAAUUCUAUAAUCACUCUGAUUCUUCAAGCUGUACCCCGUCUUGUGAUUCCGAAAGGCAUCUAACUCUACCCUUGCCAUCCUAAGUCUUGCAGACCACCUUCUUCAAGUCAGAGUAUGCUACUUGAACCAUUUUACACAAAUAUUCUCCAUUAUUUCAGGAUGUACUUUUAGCUUCUGCUCAAAGGACUCUGUUACAUUUUAUUUUAUAUUUUAUUAUGUUAUAUUAUGUUAUUCUAUUUUAUUUAGUGUUAAGGUCUCUUAACCUUUCUAAAACAAUUUUCUGGCCCAUAAAAGAAAGGUGUUGAACCAAGCUUUCUGAGGAUCCAUUGUUACACCAGAAGACUGAACCUACAAAUGCCUAUCGAAAGAGAAAUCUUGGUACACAUGUUAUCUAGGAAAAGGAUGUGUCUGCAUCUAAGUCCAAUUUUUUUUUAUUAUACUUUAAGUUCUGGUAUAUGUGUACAGAAUGUGCAGGUUUGUUACAUAGGUAUGCAUGUGCCAUGUGGUUUGCUACACCCCAUCAACCCAUCAUCUACAUUAGGUAUUUCUCCUAAAACUGUCCCUCCCCUUCUCCUCCAGCCCCUGACAGGCCCAGGUGUGUGAUGUUCCCUUUCCUGUGUCUAUUUGUCCUCCUUGUUCAACUCCCACUUAUGAAGCUCCCUGGUGGUCUAGUGGUUAGGAUUCAGUGCUCUCAACUUCCACUUAUGGGUAAGAACAGUCAGUGUUUGGUUUUCUGUUCCUGUGUUAGUUUGCUGAGAAUGAUGAUUUCCAGCUUCAUCCAUGUCCCUACAAAGAACAUGAACUCAUCCUUUUUUAUGGCUGCAUAGUAUUCCAUAGUGUACAUGUGCCACAUUUUCUUUAUCUAUUCUAUCUUUGAUGGGCAUUUGGGUUGGUUCCAAGCCUUGCGUAUUGUGAACAGUGCCACAAUAAACUGGCAAACCGAAUCCAGCAGCACAUCAGAAAGCUUCUCAUAAGUCCAUAUUUUAUGAUUCACUCACUGGGUUGAAUCACUAUAAAUAUCAAGUAAGGAAUUCCUGUCAAAGAGAGGGAACCCUAUGAAAUUGCCAAUAUCCAGCCAUUAGUUUCAGCUACAAAUAUAAUAAUGUCAUAUGAUUUGACCUGUGUUACCUUUUUUUUUUUGCAUGGCGGAAGGAGGGUGGCUAUUAGCAGAGCCUUCAAACCUUGCACAGUUUUGUAAGGUAUGCAUUUGUUACAGUUCACUCAAAUAAUAUUUCUUUGUAGGUAUCCCAAUUUCAUUCACUUUUCUACAUUUCUAGCACUCUUUCAUUAGUCCCACCUACCAUGACCGGCCACUGUCAUCUACUUUGGCCUUUUGCCAAUCAAUUCAACACAACCUGAGUAAAAGUCUAAACUGCAAAUCUAAUUGUCUAACAUCCUCUUUUUAAUGACGGUGUCUCUGUUGUCUUCUGACCAUUGGAGGAAAGCACCAAAGUUCCUUGAAAUGGUCAAUAAAAUUCUUCCCACUCUGACAUCUGCCUGCUCAACAGUCUCAUUUUGUACAUUAUUUCUGGAUCUAGCCACACUGGCCUGCUGUCAGCUCUCUACAUUCUCCACAAGUUUCCCCACUCCUAAGUUCUUUCUAUUAAAAGCAAUGGCAAAAACUGCAAUUACUUUUGCACCAGUACAAUAAAUGCUAUUCCUAUGUCCUGGAAAGCUCCUCCGUCCCCUCCUCCUUGACCUCAGUCCUGGUUGUAUUUGUCCAGGUUUGUCUAUGUCUAGACAUCUUUUUUGAACUGUAGGAGUGGGCCAGAACCCAUGCACAGAAGCUUUUGAAGAGCAGUGUGCAUUUCUAUAUAGCAUAUGGCCUUCUGCUUUGCUUUUUCAGACUUCUCUGAAUGCCUAGUGGAUGAAGAUCUACUUACCCACACAAGUUCUCUGAAGGUAAAAUUCCUGUUUGAUUUUACUCUCAACUUUAACAUCUUCAGCAUCCAGCCCUGUCUAUAAAUAUCUGAGAGCAAAUGGUUAAUGCACGAGAAAAUGGCAAACAGAAAGAAAAGGAGCCAGUGCAUGUUGAAGAACUUGAGUAUAUGAUGCAUUACCCAGGCUUUCUUUUACACCUGUUUUCAUGGCAAUAGAUUUCUGGUUUUGCUUUUUUAUCCAUGAGAAGGUUUAACUCACAAUA